CCGCGCCCGCCAGUCCGCGCCGCCGCCGUCGUAGUUGUAGCAUAGUCGAUCGUUUUUUCUUUCUUCCUGUAUCAGUUCCAGCUGCUUCGUAGUCGAGAAAUAUCAAGGAUGCGUUGUACAGCUUCGUUUACUUAGGCACGUCAGCUUGCUGGUGAAAUGGAACGGUGUUUCUUUGCUCCAAGAAUUUUGCUGCCUCCGGUGCGAAUUUGUUACGGUGCAUCACGCCAACGGCUUAAUUAAUGUGGAUUGGGUGAUAAUAACGUGUCCAACUGAUGACACUUCAUAUUUCUGAUACGUUUAACA
rnacentral:lncRNA from 1 species